rnacentral:lncRNA from 1 species
CUUGAACACAAACUGACCAGGUUUCCAAUGAAAAGACAGGUGGCUCCACUCCCAGUGCAUAUUUUCAGUUGUGUUGUAUGGAUCCUAUGACCACCCCCGAGAAUUUGGUGAGAUAUAGGGAAAGUCAUGGUAGAAUUUGAGUGGGGGCAUGUUCCUCUCCACUGCCACGUUACCCCACGGAAGCCCCAAGUGCAAGAUCUGACGCCGACGGGAGCAAGGCUGACCACUCUGCUCGGUGCCCACAAGUCGACCCAUUAGCCGCCAGUCACGGAUCUCAAACAGGCUCAUCUAGAGUUCGAGAAAAGUCAUACUGAUAAGGAAACUCCACCGAGACUGAGCCGAAAGAGAGGAGCCAAACACGGUUCCGGAGGGUCUGCAGCGCAGGGAAGGGGUUCCGGUGGAG